GUUGACUAAUUGACCUAUAAAACUUUUCUGAAUACUUUAUUGUUUAUGUUACUUUAUUGCUUAUGUGUGUAAUUAUUUUAACUUGUUUUGUUAGUAAAACUAUGCUGCACAAGUAAGAUUAUCUGCACAAGUUAAGUAGGUUUAUGUCAUAUAUAUGACAUCAGCUAAGCAUAGGCUGAGUCAUUACUUAGUAUUUGGCUAUAAGUAUGUAAGAAGGAUGUAUGGAUGGUAUGUAUCAAAUUUGCAGCAUAGUAAACAUUGUUAUUGUCCCUUUCUCUUCCAUUUUUUUCUCUAAUUUCUGUUUUCUGUUUUUGAGCUUAUUGCUUCUGCUGCCAUUACAAAAGCUAACAGUGGUAUACAGAGCAGUGUUCUUAGAGGCUGUGAGAAAAAGAAAAACACACACCCAGAAAACUUGUUAGAAAUCAAAUGGCUUCUGGUAGUAAUGCUGUAAUUACUGUCCCUCAAUUUUCUGGGGAAAGUUAUCACAUAUGGGUUGUCAAAAUGAAAUCAUGUUUGAAGUCUUUUGGCUUAUGGGAUUAUGUAGAUGAAGACAAGCAGGUUCCACCACUGCAAGCUAAUCCCACAGUAGCUCAAAUGAAACACCAUGAGGAGGAAAAAUUGAAGAAGGAGAAAGCGGUUUCAGUUCUGCAUUCAGCCUUGGCAGAUGAUGUGUUUACGGGAAUCAUGCAUCUCGAAACAGCCAAGCAAAUAUGGGAUGAGCUGGACGAAAGGUAUGCUGGUGAUGAAAGGGUAAGAUCCAUAAAGUUAUUGACUCUUAAAAGGGAGUUUGAAAUGCUGAAAAUGAAGGAACAUGAAUCUGUCAAAGAAUACACCUCAAAACUAUCUCACUUGGUGAAUCAAAUGAGACUUCAUGGUGAGGUUGUAGAUGACAGCAAAGUAGUGGAAAAGAUGCUGAUCAGCUUACCCGACAAAUUUGAAGCCAAAGUUGCUGCUAUUGAAGAGUCAUGUGAUCUCAAGAAACUAACUGUUUCUGAGAUGGUCAGCAAAUUGACAGCUCAUGAACAAAGAUUCUCUAUGAGAAUGGAUGAUGUUUCUGAUGGUGCUUUUCAGGCCAAACACAAGCAGUUUGGAGUUGGACAGAAGAAAAAGAACUACAAACAUGGUGGUGAUCAAAAAGGAAAGAACAAAGAUGAUGGUAGUUCAAGUGAAUCUGCAGCAAAGGACAAGUUCCCUCCUUGUCUAACUUGUAAAAGAACAAAUCACUUGACAAAAGAUUGCUUUUAUAAGGGAAAGCCCCAAAUUAAAUGCAAUCACUGUAAUCGAUGGGGUCAUAGAGAGAAGUUUUGUCGAUUAAAACAAAACCAAUCUCAACCACAACAUGCACAUCAGGUUAACUUCACUGAUGAACAAGCCCAUGAAGAUCACUUGUUUAUGGCCACUCAUACAAGUAGCUCUUCUUCUAAAGAUGUAUGGUAUGUUGAUAGUGGGUGCACAAUCCACAUGGCAAAUGAACCAAGUCUCUUCACCUCUUUGGACAAAGCUGUACAAACCAAAGUGAAGAUUGGAAAUGGAAAAUAUGUGCAGGCCAAAGGAAAAGGUAUUGUUUCUGUUCACACUAGCAAAGGUCCAAAAUAUAUCCAUGAUGUUUUGUUGAUUCCAGAUCUGAGUCAAAAUUUGCUAAGUGUUGCUCAGUUAUUGAAGAAAGGAUAUUCAAUUUCCUUUAAAAAUAAUGUUUGUGUCAUAAUGGAUUCAACUGAUUCUGAAGUUGUGAAGGUUGAAAUGUGUGGAAAUAGUUUUCCAUUAAGUUUGAAUCAAGUGAAUCAAACAGCACUUGUUUCCAAACAUGAUGAUUCUGCACUAUGGCACAAAAGAUAUGGUCAUUUUAAUUUUAAUGCAUUAAAAUAUCUGCAAUCUCAUGAUAUGGUGAGAGACAUGCCAGAAAUUAAUUGUAUUAAUGAUUUAUGUGAUGCUUGUCAACUUGGAAAAAUGCAUAGAAAGUCCUUUCAGUCAACAAAUGUUACACGAGCAAAGGAAAAAUUGGAGCUUGUUCAUACCGACUUGUGUGGUCCUAUGAGUGUGCCCUCUCUUAGCCACAACAAGUACUUUCUAUUGUUUAUUGAUGAUCUGACUAGGAUGACAUGGGUGUAUUUUCUGACAAGUAAAGCUCAAACUUUUAAUGUCUUCAAAAAGUUUAGAGCUAUGGUGGAAUCUCAAAGUGGCUGCAAAAUCAAAGCUUUGAGAUCUGACAACGGAAAGGAGUAUACUUCCAAUGAAUUUAAUUUGUUUUGUGAAGAUAUGGGCAUUGUACAUCAGCUGACAGUGAGCUACACACCUCAGCAAAAUGGAGUUUCUGAGAGGAAAAACAGAACAGUUAUGGAGAUGGCAAGAUGUUUGAUUGCUGAAAAGCAAUUACCAAAAAGCUUUUGGGCUGAAGCUGUUUAUACAGCAGUGUAUCUCUUGAAUAGGCUGCCAACAAGGGCUGUUCAAGGGAAAACACCAAUUGAGGCAUGGAUAGGUGUGAAGCCUUCAGCCAAACAUUUGAAGGUCUUUGGAUCAAUAUGUUAUGUUCAUGUUGUAGCAGCAAAAAGAUCCAAAUUGGAUGAUAAAGCUGAAAUGGGGAUUUUUUUGGGUUAUGCAGCAAGCUCCAAAGGUUAUAGAGUGUACAACUUGAAGACAAAACAAAUUGUGAUCAGCAGAGACAUUGAUGUUGAUGAAAAUGCAUAUUGGGAUUGGGAAAAUGAUGAGGUUCAAAGAAGUACAAAAUCUGCUGAAAGUGCUCAUGACAAACAAGAGCACACAACAAAUGAAGAUGAAAAUCAGAUAGCUGAAUCUGAUUCCCUAAUUCUAAAGAGCAAAUCUCUGUCUGAAGUUUAUGAAAAUUGCAAUUUUGUUGAGAAUGAACCUUCUAGUUUUGAAGAAGCUUCAUUGAUAACAGAAUGGAAAGAUGCAAUGAAGGAGGAGCUGCUGGCCAUUAAUAAAAAUGGUACAUGGGAACUCACUCAAAGACCUAAAGAUAAAAAUGUGAUAGGAGUUAAAUGGGUUUACAGAACCAAGUUAAAUCCUGAUGGCUCCAUUCACAAACACAAAGCAAGGCUUGUUGUGAAAGGAUAUUCUCAAAUGGCUGGAAUUGAUUAUGGUGAUACAUUUGCACCGGUUGCUAGGCAUGAAACAAUUCGGUUGAUUGUUGCUCUAUCAGCACAAUGUGGAUGGAAGAUCUUUCAUUUGGAUGUCAAAUCGGCAUUCUUAAAUGGAAUCCUGGAGGAGGAAAUUUAUGUUGAACAACCUGCUGGUUUUAUUGUUGCAGGUUAUGAAGACAGUGUGUAUAGGCUUCAUAAAGCCUUGUAUGGGCUGAAACAGGCGCCUAGAGCCUGGUACAGUAGAAUUGACUCACAUUUUCUGCAAAAUGAUUUCAGGAGGAGUCAAAAUGAGCCUACACUUUAUGUUAAAAAAUGUGGCAAUGGGAAGAGGAUUAUAGUUUCUCUUUAUGUUGAUGACUUGUUGAUUACCGGUAAUGACAUUGAUGAGAUUAACAAGUUUAAGAAGAGCAUGUUGGAGGUCUUUGAAAUGACGGACCUGGGAUUGAUGAAGUAUUUUUUGGGAAUGGAAUUGCAUCAGCUUGAUGAUGGAAUAUUUCUUUCACAAAAGAAAUAUGCUAAUGAUGUGCUGAAAAAAUUCAAAUUGGAGAGUUGUAAAUCUGUUUCAACACCUCUUGCUGUAAAUGAAAAACUCUCAAAAUCUGAUGGAGAUGCUAAGGCAGAUGUUACUCAAUAUAGGAGUUUGAUUGGUUGUCUUCUUUACUUGACUGCAACUAGACCAGAUUUGAUGUUCUCUGCUAGUUUGCUUUCUAGGUUCAUGCAUUCACCAAGUGUAACACACUUAGGUGUGGGCAAAAGAGUGUUGAGGUACAUAAGAGGUACUACUGAUUUUGGUAUUUGGUACAACAAAGGUGAUAGUAAGAUUGAAGGCUUUGUUGAUAGUGAUUGGGCUGGAUCUAUUGAUGAUUCUAAAAGCACAAGUGGUUAUGUUUUUUCACUUGGUAGUGGUGUAUUUUCAUGGAAUUCCAAAAAACAAGAUGUGGUUGCUCAAUCCUCAGCUGAAGCUGAGUAUAUUGCUGCUGCAGCUGCAUCAAAUCAAGCUAUUUGGAUCAAAAAGGUAUUGAGUGAUCUGAAUCAUGUACAAGAGGAACCAAUUGUGCUAUGGUGUGACAACAAAUCAGCUAUAGCAAUUGCCAAAAAUCCAAUUCAACAUGGAAGAACAAAGCAUAUCAAUGUCAAAUUUCAUGCUAUAAGAGAAGCUGAACAAAAUGGAGAUGUAAAACUGCAGCACUGCAGUUCUGAAGAACAAUUGGCAGACAUUUUAACAAAAGCACUUCCUAGUGCCAAGUUCAUGGAGCUAAGAAGCAAGCUAGGAGUAUUUCAAAAAAGUUUUAAGGAGGAGUGUUGACUAAUUGACCUAUAAAACUUUUCUGAAUACUUUAUUGUUUAUGUUACUUUAUUGCUUAUGUGUGUAAUUAUUUUAACUUGUUUUGUUAGUAAAACUAUGCUGCACAAGUAAGAUUAUCUGCACAAGUUAAGUAGGUUUAUGUCAUAUAUAUGACAUCAGCUAAGCAUAGGCUGAGUCAUUACUUAGUAUUUGGCUAUAAGUAUGUAAGAAGGAUGUAUGGAUGGUAUGUAUCAAAUUUGCAGCAUAGUAAACAUUGUUAUUGUCCCUUUCUCUUCCAUUUUUUUCUCUAAUUUCUGUUUUCUGUUUUUGAGCUUAUUGCUUCUGCUGCCAUUACAAAAG
rnacentral:lncRNA from 1 species